UGUAGAACCUGUUCUACAACUUACGUUGCCAUUGUGGUUGAAAAACGACAUGCCAGAACUUGUUGCAAUCCAGUCUCAACAAAGAGCUUGUCUGAUGCUUGCAGGUGUCGAUGGGGUUGCUCAACAAGACGAAUGGACCACUGAAGCCUCCUGACAAAUCUGUGUCCUGUGGCUUUUGGACAAACCAGUUCCUCCAGUGAAGUCAUUUGGAAUAUGAACAAUACCUUUAAGGAUCAACCGAACUCAUAGAACUGCAUGAAAGUCAUCCUGGCUAAUGUGGAGGAAAAGAUGGGUUUUCAUUAUAAAAUGGUGGCCAUUGGUGAUAUUCACACGGUGGUUUUUUUACAGCAUGUGAAGGAAAAAUGCAAAUUGCGUGUUCAGCUGAUGUUAAUCAGUCCCCUUGCUAAAACAUAGGGGUGAAGAUGUGGAGAUAAAAGCCUGAUGAUGUAGAAGUAUGUGUCGUAUUACUGGCCAGCAUAGAGUGUUGGACAUCCACAUUUUCUUCAAAAACAACUUGAAAGCAGAAAAAAAAUUCCCAGGCCAGACUGUCUCUUCGGGUUCAGUAUCAGAGUAAUACUGCUGAGUGGAAUGCAGAGAUUGUGUAUGGGAAUGAAGGAGUUCCGAUGCCCCCCAACCCAGCUCCUGGUGUGGUCGUAGCAGCAGUGCCCAGAUGGAGUCCUGAUGCUCUGUGGCUGCUGAUGGCGGCUGUUGGUGUCUUGAUCCUGCUGGUGGCGCCUUUGGUCCUGAAUGCAGUUCAUUAUUAAUUGUCAAUUGCUAUCAGUUGGCAACUUUUCAAUCACACUUUUCAUCAAUUCGGUCUUUUUGUAUUUCAAUAACUGAAAUUUCUUAGUGUGUCUCCUGCAGUGCUUCAGAUUGCUUAUAUCUAUAGAAUCCUUAAUAUUUUUUUAAAUGUUGAUCCCCUUUUGCAAUAAAAAAUAAAUUAAAAGGGUUAAAAUAUGAUUUAAAGUAAAAGAUUGAGUGAGAUUAAACUGGACUGUCAGUACUCACUCUAAAAAAAGUAGUUCAAUCUGGGAUUUCAUGCUGCAGAAAAUCACUGAUGACUAUCUUUGCUCUGGACAGCAUGUCAAUUAGGAAUCCUAAGGUAAUAAUUACACAUCAUUAGAGCUCACAGAUCAGUGUAGAAAGAGCUAGUAUGAAAUAAAAGAUUGAUUGCUACUGGUAGACAAUCAGUGGCACCAGUCUGUGUGUUGUAUUGUUUGGAUAGAGGAACAAAAAAAAUGGACAGGGUGUAAUUUUUGACCUAUUAGUAUAAAAUAGUUUACAAACUGUAUCAAAGCUACGUGUUAAUGGAUCCAUCCCCACCUACAGUAUUGGCUACAUGCUGUUCAAUGAUUCCAGGCAGUUACUGAAUCUAUUUUGAACAGUAAAAUAAAGCGACAAAACAAACUACAUUUAAAACAUCUAGUAUUUUAAAAAGUGUCUUGAUUCUUGAGUGUGUUUCAUCCACAGUGGAGAACAAAACUAGUGAUGGAUGGUGGUAAAUCAGGUCCAAGAAAAAUUCAGAAAACCAAAGAUUCUUUGCUUUUUUUUGGUUUUGUUUGCAGUGUUUUUCUAUGUUUACCAGUAUAAUUGUCUUUACACAUACAGUAUUGUAUCAUUUCCAGCAAACAAUAAACUGUAAAGCCUGUUGAUUUUGUUUGUACUAAUUUGUUUGUUUGUUCGAUUAACCCUAGGUGGGUGGUACAUGUCAAACAUCCACAUGAAUGUCAGGACUCAAGGUUUCCCAGCAGAACAUUGUAUUAUAACAACAUGAUUGAUGUUGUUCACUUCACCUGUCAGCGGUCAUAAUGUUGUGGCUGAUCAGUGUACAUGAUAUUUACAAGUGGAUGCAAACGUUUGUUAACAACUGUAUAUAAUCACAUGGUUCUCCUUCCUAUUCUCUGCCAUUUUGUUAGAGAUACAUUUGUAUUUUCUCACACAUGGCUCCUUCAGGUGAUGUCUGGAAAAGUUCAGGGCUGCAGUUCAUGUGUGAAAAUGGUUCAGCAGCAAGGAUUAAAGUGAAAAACAGAACUGGCACACGCCCAGAACCCAUAAUGGAAAGGUACCACAUAGUCAAUAUUCUUAGCGUUUACCUUUAUACAAUUGUUGUAAACUAAUGUCAAUGCUCGUUCCAUUUGUUUCACCUUUUCUACUUCUCCUCCUGUUUUUUUCCCACAGAUCUCUGCUGAUCAACAUAUAAUUGUGGGACUUUUUGUAUCAUAGUUGACAUUUUUGCUGUUUUCAGGCCUAAAAUCAACAUGGCCGCCUAUAACCAAACAUCACAUGGUAUUUUACAGAAAGAUUCUUCUAAAUAUUAUAUAUACAAUUGAGUUAAAUUGAAAUUGAAAGUUAGUAGUAAAGAUAUUGUAGUAAACCUGUUGACAUGCCAUAAAUCCACACUUGACUCACACACUACUUUAUAUUAAAUAACUCAGAAAGCCUUGGAGUCUUGUCAGUCUUUUCUUCAGGAGGAAAUGACAUCAUGUGGAGCAGGUCAUGUGAUCUGGAAUUAACACACUUCAGGUGUUUUUGUAAUAGUUGAAAAUGAUUUCUCUGACAUAGACACAAUUGUUAUUUUCCAUAUAAAAUUUGAUAUAUUGCCAAAAAAGAAACAUC
ensembl:lncRNA